rnacentral:rRNA from 1 species
UACGUAGGGGGCAAGCGUUGUCCGGAUUUAUUGGGCGUAAAGAGCGUGUAGGCGGCCAGGUAGGUCCGUUGUGAAAACUCGAGGCUUAACCUCGAGACGUCGAUGGAAACCAUCUGGCUAGAGUCCGGAAGAGGAGAGUGGAAUUCCUGGUGUAGCGGUGAAAUGCGCAGAUAUCAGGAAGAACACCCGUGGCGAAGGCGGCUCACUGGACUGGUAUUGACGCUGAUGUGCGAAAGCGUGGGGAGCAAACAGG